UACAGAGGGUGCGAGCGUUAAUCGGAAUUACUGGGCGUAAAGCGUGCGUAGACGGUUUUGUAAGUCGGAUGUGAAAUCCCCGGGCUCAACCUGGGAAUUGCAUUCGAGACUGCAAGGCUUGGGUGCGGAAGAGGGAAGCGGAAUUUCCGGUGUAGCGGUGAAAUGCGUAGAUAUCGGAAGGAACAUCAGUGGCGAAAGCGGCUUCCUGGUCCAGCCCCGACGGUCAGGCACGAAAGCGUGGGGAGCAAACAGG
rnacentral:rRNA from 1 species